rnacentral:rRNA from 1 species
CCUACGGGGAGCAGCAGUGGGGAAUAUUGGACAAUGGGCGAAAGCCUGAUCCAGCCAUGCCGCGUGUGUGAAGAAGGCCUUCGGGUUGUAAAGCACUUUCAGUGGGGAAGAAAGCCUUGGGGCUAAUACCCUCGAGGAAGGACAUCACCCACAGAAGAAGCACCGGCUAACUCCGUGCCAGCAGCCGCGGUAAUACGGAGGGUGUGAGCGUUAAUCGGAAUUACUGGGCGUAAAGCGCGCGUAGGCGGUCUGAUAAGCCGGUUGUGAAAGCCCCGGGCUCAACCUGGGAACGGCAUCCGGAACUGUCAGGCUAGAGUGCAGGAGAGGAAGGUAGAAUUCCCGGUGUAGCGGUGAAAUGCGUAGAGAUCGGGAGGAAUACCAGUGGCGAAGGCGGCCUUCUGGACUGACACUGACGCUGAGGUGCGAAAGCGUGGGUAGCAAACAGGAUUAGAUACCCCAGUAGUC